GCCUAUGGCCAUACAAGUCUGAAAGUGCCUGAUCCUCAGCUUCUUCUCAGAUUCAGUCGCUGGUGACUUGGGCCUGUUAAGUACUUGUAUGGGAGACCAACUAGGAACCUCAGGUGCAGUAAGCU